rnacentral:rRNA from 1 species
AGGAUCAUUAUUGAAUUUUGAUUUCGAGGAGAAAGGGCAUCGAUUGUCGCUGGCUGGCUUUUCAGCAUGUGCACAUCUAUGCUUUCUCACCUCGUCUCAUAUCCCACACACCUGUGCACCUAUUGUAGGUCCUCGAAAGAGGAUCUAUGUUUUUUCUACAUCACACACGUCGUAUGUCUAGAAUGUAUUUGAUAACUUGUCGAUCAGGCUUCAUUGUCCUGGUCCCCAAGGUUCAAUAAAACCACUAUACAACUUUCAGCAAUGGAUCUCUUGGCUCUCGCAUCGAUGAAGAACGCAGCGAAUUGCGAUAAGUAAUGUGAAUUGCAGAUUUCCAGUGAAUCAUCGAAUCUUUGAACGCACCUUGCGCUCCUUGGUAUUCCGAGGAGCAUGCCUGUUUGAGUGUCAUUGAAUUUCUCAACCAUGUCUUUUGUGCAUGGCUUGGACUUGGGGGUUUGCUGGCAGCCAUCAGCUCUCCUGAAAUGCAUUAGCAAAGGAUGUGCUAGUCUCUGGACGUGCACGGCCUUCGACGUGAUAAUGAUCGUCGUGGCUGGAGCGUUCUCUUUCAGGGGACCAUGCAUAUGAAUUUGCUUCUAAUACAGCAGCUAGUUACUAGUCGGUCAUGAGCCUGGCGAACACAGCUGAGAACUUUUCGAACCGUUGACCUCAAAUCAGGUAGGACUACCCGCUGAACUUAAGCAUAUCAAUAAGCGGAGGAAAAGAAACUAACAAGGAUUCCCCUAGUAACUGCGAGUGAAGCGGGAUGAGCUCAAAUUUUGAAUCUGGCGGUCUUUGGCCGUCCGAGUUGUAAUCUAGAGAAGCGUUUUCCGCGCUGGACCGUGUACAAGUCUCCUGGAAGGGAGCGUCAUAGAGGGUGAGAAUCCCGUCUUUGACACGGACUACCAGUGCUAUGUGAUGCGCUCUCGACGAGUCGAGUUGUUUGGGAAUGCAGCUCAAAAUGGGUGGUAAAUUCCAUCUAAAGCUAAAUACAGGCGAGAGACCGAUAGCGAACAAGUACCGUGAGGGAAAGAUGAAAAGAACUUUGGAAAGAGAGUUAAACAGUACGUGAAAUUGCUGAAAGGGAAACGCUUGAUGUCAGUCGCGUCGCCCAGGGAUCAACCUUGCUUUUCUUGCUGGGUGCAUUUCCUGGUCGACGGGUCAGCAUCAGUUUCGAUCGCCAUACAAUGAUCGAGGGAAUGUGGCACUCUUCGGGGUGUGUUAUAGCCUUUGAUCGUAUGUGGCGAUCGGGUCUGAGGAACUCGGCACGACUUCAUGUUUGUGUCUAGGAUGCUGGCAUAAUGGCCUUAAGCGACCCGUCUUGAAACACGGACCAAGGAGUCUAACAUGCCUGCGAGUGUUUGGGUGCCAAACCCGAGCGCGUAACGAAAGUGAAAGUCGAGACCUCUGUCGUGGAGGGCACCGACGCCCGGACCUGAGUCUUUGACAAUGGAUCUGCGGUAGAGCAUGUAUGUUGGGACCCGAAAGAUGGUGAACUAUGCCUGAAU